rnacentral:lncRNA from 1 species
CAUGAUAAUGCUUCUGUCACUCACUUUCCUUGUCCUGCUUGUCUAGCUGCAGCCUAAUCUGCUAUGAACAAUGUAGUAAGUAAAUAUCAGGUUGAUUAAUUAUGGUGCGAGAUUCAGUAACUGCUUGUCUUCUAUAAUUAACACGGUCAUUGAAAUUAAGUAACACACUUCAUACGUGGAUUCCUGGACUAAAAGAAAUAACACGGGAGAAUCCUCAGGGCUGUCGCAGGGGAGGUGAGGGAAUAACAACAGAGGGUCAAAAUAUUAAUUAUCUCUUCAAAAUGACUGUACGUUUUAAGAUGUGCUUCACACGAGAAGGGACUUUACUGCUUCUGCAUGUCCCCACAGAGACAAAACAGAGUAGGUCUGUGAAAAUACUGCUUCUGUUUGCUGACAGCACGCCUUUCUUUCACCGCUGUGAUAGAUGGAAGCGGUCAGAACAGGCGCACAUCGCGCAGAUAUGCUCACCCACCUUCCUAAGGGCAAGCACGGACAGCACUGAAGGAAGCCCUAACAAUUGAGGAGUGGUUUUUGUUCCCUCGGCAGGAAGGAACUCUGAGCUCAUGUGGUCAGGACAGCCUGGAGGGGUUGCUCGCUUUCCCAGCGCUUUGAGCGCUUCUCCCAAAAGUUCUGAUUUUCACAGAAGCACAGAAGAAUACAGUUUCUGCAUUCAAACGAUGAGGGUGGAAAACAAAGUCACCCUCAUUCAGUGAUUUCCCUCUGCCUUCGAGUCCUCCAUACAACAUUAGGAAAAAGCCAGGGACCUUCCUGGGACCACUGCCUUCUUUGGAGAAGGGUCGGUUCAGAGGUGUGGGCCGGAUUUUCACACUCAUCACAGGAACCUCAUGGCUG